UACGUAGGGGGCUAGCGUUAUCCGGAAUUACUGGGCGUAAAGGGUGCGUAGGUGGUUUCUUAAGUCAGAGGUGAAAGGCUACGGCUCAACCGUAGUAAGCCUUUGAAACUGGGGAACUUGAGUGCAGGAGAGGAGAGUAGAAUUCCUAGUGUAGCGGUGAAAUGCGUAGAUAUUAGGAGGAAUACCAGUUGCGAAGGCGGCUCUCUGGACUGUAACUGACACUGAGGCACGAAAGCGUGGGGAGCAAACAGG
rnacentral:rRNA from 1 species